rnacentral:rRNA from 1 species
UACGUAGGUGGCAAGCGUUGUCCGGAAUUAUUGGGCAUAAAGCGCGCGCAGGCGGUCCUUUAAGUCUGAUGUGAAAGCCCACGGCUCAACCGUGGAGGGUCAUUGGAAACUGGGGGACUUGAGUGCAGAAGAGGAGAGUGGAAUUCCACGUGUAGCGGUGAAAUGCGUAGAGAUGUGGAGGAACACCAGUGGCGAAGGCGACUCUCUGGUCUGUAACUGACGCUGAGGCGCGAAAGCGUGGGGAGCGAACAGG